rnacentral:rRNA from 1 species
GCUUGCUACCUGACCUAGCGGCGGACGGGUGAGUAAUGCUUAGGAAUCUGCCUAUUAGUGGGGGACAACAUUCCGAAAGGAAUGCUAAUACCGCAUACGCCCUACGGGGGAAAGCAGGGGAUCUUCGGACCUUGCGCUAAUAGAUGAGCCUAAGUCAGAUUAGCUAGUUGGUGGGGUAAAGGCCUACCAAGGCGACGAUCUGUAGCGGGUCUGAGAGGAUGAUCCGCCACACUGGGACUGAGACACGGCCCAGACUCCUACGGGAGGCAGCAGUGGGGAAUAUUGGACAAUGGGCGAAAGCCUGAUCCAGCCAUGCCGCGUGUGUGAAGAGGGCCUUUUGGUUGUAAAGCACUUUAAGCGAGGAGGAGGCUACUUGGAUUAAUACUCUAGGAUAGUGGACGUUACUCGCAGAAUAAGCACCGGCUAACUCUGUGCCAGCAGCCGCGGUAAUACAGAGGGUGCGAGCGUUAAUCGGAUUUACUGGGCGUAAAGCGUGCGUAGGCGGCUUUUUAAGUCGGAUGUGAAAUCCCUGAGCUUAACUUAGGAAUUGCAUUCGAUACUGGGAAGCUAGAGUAUGGGAGAGGAUGGUAGAAUUCCAGGUGUAGCGGUGAAAUGCGUAGAGAUCUGGAGGAAUACCGAUGGCGAAGGCAGCCAUCUGGCCUAAUACUGACGCUGAGGUACGAAAGCAUGGGGAGCAAACAGGAUUAGAUACCCUGGUAGUCCAUGCCGUAAACGAUGUCUACUAGCCGUUGGGGCCUUUGAGGCUUUAGUGGCGCAGCUAACGCGAUAAGUAGACCGCCUGGGGAGUACGGUCGCAAGACUAAAACUCAAAUGAAUUGACGGGGGCCCGCACAAGCGGUGGAGCAUGCGGUUUAAUUCGAUGCAACGCGAAGAACCUUACCUGGUCUUGACAUAGUAAGAACUUUCCAGAGAUGGAUUGGUGCCUUCGGGAACUUACAUACAGGUGCUGCAUGGCUGUCGUCAGCUCGUGUCGUGAGAUGUUGGGUUAAGUCCCGCAACGAGCGCAACCCUUUUCCUUAUUUGCCAGCGGGUUAAGCCGGGAACUUUAAGGAUACUGCCAGUGACAAACUGGAGGAAGGCGGGGACGACGUCAAGUCAUCAUGGCCCUUACGACCAGGGCUACACACGUGCUACAAUGGUCGGUACAAAGGGUUGCUACCUAGCGAUAGGAUGCUAAUCUCAAAAAGCCGAUCGUAGUCCGGAUUGGAGUCUGCAACUCGAC